rnacentral:rRNA from 1 species
GACGAACGCUGGCGGCGUGCUUAACACAUGCAAGUCGAGCGAGGCCCUUCCUUCGGGAGGGUGUCCUAGCGGCGAACGGGUGAGUAACACGUGGGCAACCUGCCCUCAGCUCUGGGAUAACUCCAAGAAAUUGGGGCUAAUACCGGAUAUGACUGCUGACCGCAUGGUCUGGUGGUGGAAAGAUUUAUCGGCUGGGGAUGGGCCCGCGGCCUAUCAGCUUGUUGGUGGGGUAGUGGCCUACCAAGGCGACGACGGGUAGCCGGCCUGAGAGGGUGACCGGCCACACUGGGACUGAGACACGGCCCAGACUCCUACGGGAGGCAGCAGUGGGGAAUAUUGCGCAAUGGGCGGAAGCCUGACGCAGCGACGCCGCGUGGGGAUGACGGCCUCGGUGUAA